rnacentral:rRNA from 1 species
AACGAACGCUGGCGGCAUGCCUAACACAUGCAAGUCGAACGAGACCUUCGGGUCUAGUGGCGCACGUGUGCGUAACGCGUGGGAACCUGCCCUUAGGUUCGGAAUAACUCCCCGAAAGGGGUGCUAAUACCGGAUAAUGUCUUCGGACCAAAGAUUUAUCGCCUUUGGAUGGGCCCGCGUUGGAUUAGCUAGUUGGUAGGGUAAAAGCCUACCAAGGCGACGAUCCAUAGCUGGUCUGAGAGGAUGAUCAGCCACACUGGGACUGAGACACGGCCCAGACUCCUACGGGAGGCAGCAGUGGGGAAUAUUGGACAAUGGGCGAAAGCCUGAUCACGCAAUGCCGCGUGAGUGAUGAAGGCCUUAGGGUUGUAAAGCUCUUUUACCCGGGAUGAUAAUGACAGUACCGGGAGAAUAAGCUCCGGCUAACUCCGUG